AGGACGAACGCUGGCGGCGUGCUUAACACAUGCAAGUCGAGCGGAAAGGCCCUUCGGGGUACUCGAGCGGCGAACGGGUGAGUAACACGUGAGCAAUCUGCCCUUAGCUUCGGGAUAGCCCCCGGGAAACCGGGAUUAAUACCGAAUACGACCUCGGCCGACAUCGGCUUUGGUGGAAAGUUUUUCGGCUAGGGAUGAACUCGCGGCCUAUCAGCUUGUUGGUGGGGUAAUGGCCUACCAAGGCGACGACGGGUAGCCGGCCUGAGAGGGCGACCGGCCACACUGGGACUGAGACACGGCCCCAGACUCCUACGGGAGGCAGCAGUGGGGAAUAUUGCGCAAUGGGCGAAAGCCUGACGCAGCGACGCCGCGUGGGGGAUGAAGGCCUUCGGGGUUGUAAACCCCGUUUCAGCAGGGACGAAGCGAGAGUGACGGUACCUGCAGAAGAAGCGCCGGCUAACUACGUGCCAGCAGCCGC
rnacentral:rRNA from 1 species